rnacentral:rRNA from 1 species
GACGAACCGUGCGAACGUUAUUCGGAAUCACUGGGCUUAAAGCGCGUGUAGGCGGGACGGCACGUCGGUCGCUGAAAGCCCCCGGCUCAACCGGGGAAGUGGCGCCGAUACGACCGCCCUGGAGGGACGUAGGGGGACCUGGAACUUCCGGUGGAGCGGUGAAAUGCGUAGAGAUCGGAAAGAACACCAACGGCGAAAGCACUCUGCUGGGCCGACACUGACACUGAGAGACGAAAGCUAGGGGAGCGAAUGGG